CCAAUAGCGUAUAUUAAAGUUGUUGCAGUUAAAAAGCUCGUAGUUGAAUUUCGGGAUCAGUACGCUGGUCGUGCCUUCGGUAUGAACUGGUGUCACUGGUUCCUCCCUUCUGAAGAACCGUCAUGCCAUUCAAUUGGUGUGGCGGGAAAUCAGGACUGUUACUUUGAAAAAAUUAGAGUGUUUAAAGCAGGCUCGCGCUU
rnacentral:rRNA from 1 species